GGGUUAACUGCAGUGCGGCUUGCUGCCAUCUCUUACCCAUGUCUUUUGAGUACCUUCGUUUCCUCGGCGGGUUCGCCCGCCGGUUGGACAACACUUAAACCCUUUGUAAUUGAAAUCAGCGUCUGAAAAACUUUAAUAGUUACAACUUUCAACAACGGAUCUCUUGGUUCUGGCAUCGAUGAAGAACGCAGCGAAAUGCGAUAAGUAGUGUGAAUUGCAGAAUUCAGUGAAUCAUCGAAUCUUUGAACGCACAUUGCGCCCCUUGGUAUUCCAUGGGGCAUGCCUGUUCGAGCGUCAUUUGUACCUUCAAGCUCUGCUUGGUGUUGGGUGUUUGUCUCGCCUUUUGCGCGCAGACUCGCCUCAAAACGAUUGGCAGCCGGCGUAUUGAUUUCGGAGCGCAGUACAUCUCGCGCUUUGCACUCACAACGACGACGUCCAAAAAGUACAUUUUUACACUCUUGACCUCGGAUCAGGUAGGGAUACCCGCUGAACUUAAGCAUAUCAAAAGGCCGGAGGAA
rnacentral:rRNA from 1 species